rnacentral:rRNA from 1 species
UGGGGAAUAUUGGACAAUGGGCGCAAGCCUGAUCCAGCCAUGCCGCGUGUGUGAAGAAGGCCUUCGGGUUGUAAAGCACUUUUGUCCGGAAAGAAAAGCUUCGGGUUAAUAACCUGGAGUCAUGACGGUACCGGAAGAAUAAGCACCGGCUAACUUCGUGCCAGCAGCCGCGGUAAUACGAAGGGUGCAAGCGUUACUCGGAAUUACUGGGCGUAAAGCGUGCGUAGGUGGUUUGUUAAGUCUGAUGUGAAAGACCCUGGGCUCAACCUGGGAACGGCAUUGGAUACUGGCUUACUAGAGUGCGGUAGAGGGUAGUGGAAUUCCCGGUGUAGCAGUGGAAAUGCGUAGAUAUCGGGAGGAACAUCUGUGGCGAAGGCGACUACCUGGACCAGGCACUGACACUGAGGCACGAAAGCGUGGGGAGCAAACAGGAUUAGAUACCCUGGUAGUCCACGCCCUAAACGAUGCGAACUGGAUGUUGGGUGCAACUUGGCACUCAGUA